UCGUCUUCUUCUUGCUUUUGUUGAAAUGAUGCUGUUUUUUGGAGGUUGAGACCUGAUUUUUCCAAGAGUCCAUCGAAACGAGGAUAGACUGUCAAGAAAUUAGCAGAUCUGGAGAAAAAAACCUUAGCCCGAGGCUAGAGAGAAGAACUGACGCCGCCGAGAAGCUUUUAAUGAGGGAAGUGUGAGUCCAAGCCACCAUCUUUGCUAGCAGCUAGGAUCAGAAGGCUCCAGCGAGGAAGAGAGGGCUCAUUGGUCACCAUCGAUGAUGGAUCUCAAAGCCCAAGAUAAGAUGAAGCUAUUCACUGGCAAAGAAGGGUUUGUGUCUGCGAAGAUGUCCUGGAACGGUUCCAAUUUUUAGAAAGAGAAAUGGAUCUGAGAGAUUUCAUGUGAACACAGCCGAGAAUUUCGGUCGACAUGACGGAGAGAGGUCUUGACGAGAAUUGGCACUGAUGAAGCUAAUCGAUCUCGGGAACUCAGUUUGCCGAAUCUCUUGGCCUCUUUCUUUUUCGACUAAAUAUAAAUCUUCUUCUUCAAACUUGACUUCGGUUAAAACGAUCAAUUAGCUGAGAGUUAUGAACGUGAGAUAGCUCAGUGAUUUCCUCUUCUUCUUCUUACAUAGUGAUGUUGAGAUUUGUGUUUGGCUUCUGCAUUUUGCAGGUUUUUUAUUCCAACUGCAGGAUAGGGUUUGAAGCAGAUUUUUUUGGAGGAGUAGCGGUCUAGGGAAAUUGGCACCCGGCUAUAACUCUUUUGUGAAGCUUCUUUGGAGAGAAAAAUGUGAUGACUUAGCACAAGGCUAGAAAUUUGAGAGGUUUUCAGUUUUUUCACACUUCCCAGCAGGAGAGGUCUUCAAUCUUGGUCGCUGUAAGUCUUCAGUCUUACAUAUGGAAUGAGUUGUUGCAUCUGGGUGUUGGUUGGUAAUAAAAGCUUCGUUUACAAAGCCUUGUAUUAGAGGAAUUGAAAUCAUUCUUCUAAGUUGCAGUGAGAGAGCAGAGAGGAAAAAGGAAAAUAUUACAGAAGCGAGAUUACUAGUCACCCAUAAUCAGAAGAAAAAUAUCCUUCCGACAUGAUUCAAGGGCGGAGCCACAGCGGAGGUCGGCCAAAGACGGUGGUUUGGAAAAGGAAGAAAGUAUUUCUGGCAAAUCACAAUGUUUAUAUCGAUGUUCUAAAAAUCGGCCAAGUUGCCGAUUAAUCGUCCGGCUAGGCGUUCGGCAGACUAGUGACGCCGCGAUUACAUAGUAAUCGGCAGACCUAAUCGUCGAUUAAUCGGCUUGGUCAUUGGUCAACGACUAGUUCUAUCAGACCAAACGUGUAGUAUUACUUAUAGAAGAUGUUGAAGGUCACCUUUACAGUCAUUUGUCGAUGUGGGACAUUUUACACUUACCUACUUCAAAAGAAAAUGAGGUAACCCAUGACAUUGAGAACCACCUACAUGCUCUAACCACUACACCAAAGCGUCAUUUCAUAAAUUAAACAACGAUAUAUAAUAUAUAUAUCUAUUGAAAUUAGAUAAAAACUUUAAAAUUAAUCUCCGAAAAUCCACGAUUAAACUCUGAUUUAUUGAUUAGGCGCUAGGCGCUACCUGACCGCCUGACUAGCGCCUAGCGAAAUUUUGAACAUUGGUUUAUAUAUAUGCAUAAAGUGUGUUCUUUUACAUUGAUACUCACUAUUAUGAUAUUACAAAUAUAUCUUUAUUAUUAAUUAAUUUAUAUAGAUUAUUUGCAGAAAUUCGAAGCACUAAACAAAAGAUAUGAAAUAUCUUUACCAAGUCAAAGAACUGCCCAUAUGUUUUAUUUACUAUUUUAAGUUAAUGUAUUUACUAUUUACUGUUUCGAAUCUUAUAUUAUUAUUUGAGAAGGAUUUAUUAAAAAUAAUAUUUGUCUCAUGUGUUAUUAACAAAUUUGUCAUGCUGAAAUGUCACCUCCACAAAGAUUCUCAAGAGUUUCUUUUAAAAAAACACAUGUUACUAGAAUAAUUACAAUCAAUUUCACUCAUAUUAAUUUGUUUAAAAAUCAAAUAUAUCUUAUUAAACUAAUCAUUAAAAGUAAUUGUUCAAAAAAUAUAUUUUUUCCUUAAUUAGACACACAAAAAUUAGUAAAUAAUUUCAGAACAUAUUUAUUAGCCAAUCAAAUAGAAUAAAAAAGAUUUGAAAUUUAAUUAUAUCAUAUUAAUUAUUUUCUUAUAGUCAAUCCUUAUUUAAUUAUAUAAUAUGAAUUAUUAUUAAAUUAUUAUAUUUCUUUUAUUUUCUUUGUUUACUUUUCUUUUCUGUAGAGUGGUAGAGAGAAGAAAAAUAAUAUUAAUGGAGAUGACAAAGAGCAGCCUCAAAGCGAUGAAAGUACCUAACUAUCUAUGGGGAGAAGCAGUUCGACAUGCUACUUACAUAAUAAACUGGGUACCAACAAGAUCACUUGAAAGCAAUGAAAGAAAACCAAGGAUAAGCCACCUAAGAGUAUUUGGUUGUCUAGCUUAUGCAAAGGUGGAAGCAGCGAACCUUAAGAAGCUUGAUGAUAGGUCACAAACUCUAGUACAUCUUGGAAUUAAACUAGAAACCAAGGCUUACAGACUUUUCAAGCCUAUGGCACAAAGGAUAGUGGUGAGUAGAGAUGUGUUGUUUGACGAAAAAACAGGGUGGAAUAGGAGUACUGCAAGAGAUGAUUCACAAAGAGAUCCAGGCAUGUUUCAGAUGAGAUGGGGAGAGAUUAUCGAUGCAGGAGAAGGACCAGUUUUGAUCGGCACUAAACAGCAUCAAGAACCCGAUGCAACCAAGAACAAUGAGGUCAAUAACCUCGAUGAAGCAAAUCAUGAACAAGGAUACGACCAUAACUCUGAGGAACAGAGCCAUAACGAUGAAAGCAACGAAGCAGAGAACUCGAACCAACAGGAACAUCCCUUGAGAAGAUCAACACGUCCUAGAGUAAGGCCAACCUAUCUACAAGACUUUGUCCUGCAAGCGUCGAUAGAAUGCGAGAAUCUUCUACUUUUAAUCAAUGAUGAGCCAAUAUCAUUUAGAGAAGCAAAAGACUUAAAGGAAUGGUGACAAACAUGUAAAGAGGAUAUCGAUUCUAUUAACAAAAACAAGACUUGGUUUCUGGUCGACAAACCAAGUGGGGCAAAAGUCAUCGGUUUGAAGUGGAUCUUCAAAAUUAAAAGGAAUGCAUAUGGUACUAUCAAUAAGUACAAGGCGAAAUUUGUGGCUAAAGGAUAUGUACAAGAAUCUGGCAUAGACUUUGAUGAAGUUUUUGCACCUGUAGCCCUCAUUGAAACAAUAAGACUGUUGAUUGCAUUAGCAGCUUCGCAUGGAUGGAAAAUUCAUCAUCUAGAUGUAAAAACAUCGUUUUUAGUGGAAAACUAAACACUACAAGAAAACAAUCGUUUUCCAACGGUCCAUUACGACGGUUUUUAAAUCAUCGCAAGCUUACAACGAUUUUACGACGAUCUUACGUCUAAUUUUAAAACCAUCGUAACACCGUCGCAUAAAAAAAUCGUCGUAAACUCGACGUACAAUUUACGACGAAUUACGACGAUUAUACAUCGAUAACGAGAGAUUUGCUAGUAAAUGUAAAAUCGUCGUAAAUUCGAUGUAAAAUUACAACGAAUAUACGACGACUGCAUUUCGAUGUACAUAUUACGACGAUUUUACGUCGAAAAGAAGUUAGGUGGAAAACAUUUAAAACAUGUUUACCUAACAAUUGCAGGGGAAAGAUUUUAUCGCAUAAUCGUCGUAAACUCGUCGUAAUAUUAUUUUUGAAUGUAAAUUCGACGUAAAAUGUCGUCGUAAAAGCGUUGCAAAGCCCGAAAUUUUCCUAUAAAUAGAUCUUCAUUCCUUCUUUCAAUCACAACACAUCAUCAUUCAAACAUAAGAGCAUCUUCAUCUUUGAGACCCAUUGUAGGUCUCUUAAAUUUUAGUAUAGUGUUGUAAAUCCUUAUAUAUUGGGUUGUCCAUUGCUGGAAACCCGAAUUAAGAGUUAUAUUACUUUGAAAAAUAGAAGUAAUAAUAUUAUAAGGUUAAUUUACUUCAUUCACGUGGCUAGACGUGACACAAUUGUCUAAUCAAUAAAAAAAGAUAGUAUUUUGAGUUUAUUUUCAAGAUGUCUAUAUACGAGCUAAGAAGUUGGAUGUAUAUGCGUAAAGAUUCAGAUGGGGCAUUGACAAAAGAGUUCAAGAACGGGUUAGAAAUAUUUAUAUUUCAGGCUACAAAUAUGGAGAGAACGAAAGAUAGUGGGAAGAUGUUUUGUCCUUGUUUGAAAUGCAAGAAUACGAGGUAUACACUAACCAAAACUGUGUGGACGCAUUUAUUAAAUAGAUGGUUUAUGCCGCAAUAUUUUGUUUGGUAUCUACAUGGAGAAGGAUAUGGCAGUAAUACUCAUGGGAAUGCUGGUAGUAGUAGUAAUUAUCAAAGUCAUGUUGAUAUUGAUGAAUCGAAUUAUGGUCAUCAGCCUAAUCAGUAUCAAUAUGAUCAAAGUGUAGAUCAUGAUAGGAUGCACGAAAUGAUGACUGAUGCAUUUCAUGAAACGCAUACUGGUAAUGCUGUUGAGGAACCUAAUGUAGAUGCCAAACGAUCUUAUGAUUUGUUAGACAAUGCUAAUCAGCCAAUCUACGAAGGAUGUAGAGAAGGCUUGUCUAAAUUAUCGUUGGCAGCUAGGAUGAUGUCAAUUAAAACAGAUCAUAACAUGGCUGAGGUUUGCAUGGAUGAUUGGGCUAAUCUUCUGAAGGAGUAUCUUCCGGAGGAUAACUUGGCAGCGGGAACAUACUAUGAAAUUCAGAAGUUGAUUGUUAGUCUUGGUCUACCUUCUGAGAUGAUAGAUGUAUGUGUUGACAACUGUAUGAUUUUUUGGAAAGAUGAUAAUCAGCUGGAGGAAUGUCGAUUUUGCCAAAAACCAAGAUACAUGCCGCAAACUGGUGGGCGUAAAAGGAUAUCGUACCAACGUAUGUGGUAUCUCCCUAUAACUGAUAGGUUAAAACGGCUUUAUCAAUCUGAAAGGACAGCUGCAUCAAUGAGAUGGCAUGCAGAACAUACACAAGUAGAUGGAGAAGUUGUUCAUCCAUCAGAUGCAAAGGCAUGGAAACACUUCAAUAUGGUAUACCCAGAUUUUGCUAAGUUCAAACGGAAUGUCUAUCUUGGUCUGUGCACUGAUGGUUUUAGUCCAUUUGGUAUGUCUGGUAGACAAUAUUCAUUAUGGCCAGUAAUCCUAACUCCUUAUAACCUUCCUCCAGAUUUGUGCAUGCAAAGGGAAUUUCUUUUCCUAAGUAUUUUGGUUCCAGGUCCAAAUCAUCCGAAGCGAGCUCUCGAUGUAUUUCUGCAGCCACUCAUACAUGAGUUGAAUCAGUUAUGGUAUACUGGCGUUCGUACAUAUGACUGUUCUACGAGGAAAAAAUUUACUAUGCGGGCUGUGCUUAUGUGGACAAUAAGCGAUUUCCCCGCUUAUGGUAUGCUAUCAGGAUGGACUACACAUGGGAGGCUAUCUUGUCCUUAUUGUCUUCAUCGAACUGAUGCGUUUCAGCUAAAACAUGGUAGAAAAACUUGUUGGUUUGAUUGUCACCGGAGGUUUUUACCGGAUAACCAUCCAUAUCGGAGGAACAAGAGGUUAUUUAUGAAGAACAAAAGUGUACAUGUCCCUCCACCCGUUAAUUUAACAGGAGCUAAUAUACAUGCGCAAAUUGAUCAUUGGAGAGCAGAGGAAACAGUAACGUGUGGGGGAAACUGGCACACUCCUGCAAAUAUGCCUGAAGGUUAUGGAGUUCAUCAUAAUUGGCACAAGAAAAGUAUCUUUUGGCAACUACCUUAUUGGAAAGAUCAUCUGCUCAGACACAAUCUUGAUGUCAUGCACAUUGAAAAAAACUUUUUUGAUAACAUCAUGCAUACAGUUAUGAACGUAGCAGGAAGAACAAAAGACAAUGGUAAGUCAAGAUUGGACUUGCCUGAUUUAUGCAACAGAAGUGAGUUGCAUCUACUGAGAAACAAGAAAGCACCAGUUCCUGUAUUUCGGUUGAGUGCAGAUCAAAAGUCAGCAUUGUUCAGAUGGGUUUGUUCUGACGUUAAAUUUCCUGAUGGGUAUGUCUCUAAUCUUUCCAAAUCUGUUGAGAAGGGGGUAAAGUUUGCUGGGAUGAAAAGCCAUGACUGCCAUGUGUUUAUGCAACGAUUAUUUCCAUUUGCAUUUGCUGAACUCUUGCCCAAAAACGUCCAUGAAUCUAUUGGAGGCAUUGGUGCUUUUUUUCGGGAUCUUAGUACAUGAACAUUAUCAGUUGAUGUAAUAUCACAACUGGCAUUGAAUAUUCCAAUCUUGUUGUGCAAUUUGGAAAAGAUCUUCCCACCAUCAUUUUUUGAUGUUAUGGAACAUCUUCCUGUUCAUCUCCCACACGAAGUAGAGCUCGGUGGACCCGUUCAGUACAGGUGGAUGUAUCCGUUUGAGCGUUUCAUGAAGCAUCUUAAAGGUAAAGUCAAAAACCUAGCUAAAGUGGAAGGCUCAAUUGUGGCGGGAAGCUUGACGCAAGAGAGUUCACACUUCACUUCAUACUAUUUUGCACCGAAAGUACGAACACGCAAAAGAGCUACUCGUCGAUAUGAUGAUGGAGGAGUUGGCCAUACAUAUGGCGUUGAAGGUGUACCUGACAUAUUCUCGCCGAUCGGACGUCUUAGUGGAAAACUAAAAGAAGUUUGGUGGUCUAAUGAAAAAGAUUAUCACAGUGCACAUACGUAUAUCAUGUUAAAAUUGUGAAGAGUUGUCAUCGUAUGAAAGGUACUUUUUAAUUAAUAAUAUCUUUAUAUGAGUUGUCAGUAUUAAUAACUAUUUUUUGUUUUUCUCAGCACAUUUGUUGAUGAGGUUAAAUAAUGCAUAUCUGGGAUUUCUGAAACUGAAAUCAAUGAUCGUAAAGAUCAACACUAUGCCCAGUGGUUAAAAGGACAAGUACGUAUAAAAUUUUAAUUAAAAGACUACUUUAAUUUGCUAUAUAUCCAAAUCAAGAAAUUAAAGCGGAAUUUUUUUCUUAUUAGGUGGACCCGAAUGAUCCGGAUGAAUUUCCAACAUGGUUCCAUGAGUUACUACUAGGUCUGAUGGCAAAAAUAACUACAGCCUCAAUGUAUUUCACUCGGGGCUAUGUUUUUCACACAUACCGUCACGGUGCAAAGCGGGCGACAACUAACUUUGGAGUUUGUGUGAGGGGUGAAAUAGAUUUUUAUGGAAUUCUGCAAGAAAUAAUUGAAGUAGAGUAUCCUGGAUUGUUAAGGCUGAAAGCUGUUCUCUUCAAAUGUGAUUGGUUUGAUCCAACUGUUGGAAGAGGGGUACGUCUAAACAAGUUUGGAGUUGUUGACGUGAACAAAUCACGACGGUACAACAGGUUUGAGCCAUUUAUAUUAGCUUCUCAAGCAGAACAGGUAACGUUUCUGCCAUACCCUCGAGUUCGAUCAAUAGGAAUUUCAUGGUUAGCUGUAGUUAAAGUGGCUCCGAGGGGCAAGAUUGUAGGGGUUGAGGAUGUUCCAGUUCAACAGGACACUUGCGUAGAUCUGUCUGAACCAGAUGUUGAUGAGGAGAUUUUCUUAAUAGACCCUCGGAACAGGCAAGUUGAAGAUCUUCCCGAUGAUACAGAAGAAGAAGGUGAUGAUGAGUCUGCUGAAACCGAUGAUGACGAUUUGGCGGAAGAAGACGGUGAUGGUGAUGAAGUAAUAGAGGAAGAUGAAUCUGAUUGAGUUUCAUGCAUUGUAUUUAGUGAAUGUUUGUUAUUAUGUAAUUUGUAACUUUGUAUGUUUGAAUUUUUUAAAAACCCUAAAAUUCGAUUUUACGACGGUUUUACGUCGGUUUUUCUAAACCCUAAACCCUAAGUCUAGGUUUUAACCCCUGAAUGAAUAGGGUUUCAACAUUACGACGUCUUUACGACGAACCAUCGUAAUAUCGUCGUAAAGUUACGACGGUUUUACGACGAGUACACUAUUUCGUCGUAAAAUCGUCGUAAUGUUGAAAUCCAAGAAUUUGAAUCUUUUAUAUCUUAUUGGUUGUAAGGUAUUUCACAAAUGUUUUUGAUUAGUUAUCUUAUUUUAUGUGAAAUGCUAUCAAUCUGAUCAAAAUCAAAAAUUUGAAAAAAAAACAUACAUAUUUACAAGUUCAUGCAUGUUUUCGUAAAUGUUAAGUGAAAGGUUAUAUAUUAGAUUACAGAAUUUCAAUAUUUACUAUCUCAUGUCCUAAAUCCAUCAUACAUGCAAAGUUGUAAACCUUUUGUUAUAUGUUAGGAUACAAUAACCUUUGCAUUGUUCUUUAUGCAAUAUCCCAUUUAUAAGAUUUAGGGUUUAAUCACUUUUUAAAAAAAACUUCGUAAAACCGUCGUAAUAUAAUCGUAACUUUACGACGGCUUUACGUCUAAGUUCUCUAAAACCGUCGUUGAACCGUCGUAACGUUUGCACCGGAUAGGCUCUUGAUCCGAGGUACGAGGUUAUAAAUGUUUAGACGUUACGACGAUUUUACGACGGUUUUGGGUAAAAUCGUCGUAAAACCGUCGUAACGGUCAAACGCUCCCAUCACGACACGUGUCAUGUCAUACAGUGGACUGACUGUUAUACAACCGAAUCGUCGUAAAAUCGUCUUAACUCAUUAGGAACGCGAGUUUUCCCCCUUUCGUCGCUCAUUUCUCUCUUCUCCCCUCUCUCUCUACAAAACUUUCUCUCUCUAAACCCUAAACCUCUCCCUCUCUCCCUACUCUCCCAGCCAAUACUUGUAAGUUUUUUUUUUAAAAAAUAAUUUCAUUACAUAUUCUUUUAGAUUUAGGUUCGGAAUUUAGAUUUAGGUUCAGAAUAUAGAUUUAGGUUUCGGAAUUUAGAUAGGCCCGGAUAUUGUAAAUUUAAAUAAAUAUUUGAAAAAUUAGUAACAAAUUUUUUAAAAUUUUUUAGAUUCUGUUGAUAUGGCUCCUCGGGCUAAGAGAUUUCACUACCGACAGCUGGUCGAUUCUGACGGUACGGCCCCGUCUACCUCGGCGACCGGAUCAGCCAUCUCGGAGUCCUCGGGAACACAACGGACGGUUUCCCAACCGGUCGUUGUACCGCAGCCGGCACCGCCUCCACCACCACCAACCGAACCAGUGGCUCCCGCACCGGCCGAUCCUGAAGCUGAUCCGAUCUCGCCUGUACUGUAUGUCCAGUUUACGGUACAUGAUCUUCUGGUACAGCCGGGUCGUGAGACCAUGA
rnacentral:lncRNA from 1 species